CGCGCGCUAUCUAGCGGGAGAGAGGAGGGAGCGUUGGAGGAACCGGAUGAAGACCAGUUUCAUUGCGAUUAUGAUCAUCGUGAUGACCGCAGCUCUCUUCUAUGUGAUGGUAGUUUAGAUGGUCGAUAUCGACUUGUAAUGUGAAGACAAACUCGGUACUCGCGGUCUCGAGACUUGUAAUGUUUUAACUUUGUUCGGUAUU
rnacentral:lncRNA from 1 species